AGCGGCGGACGGGUGAGUAAUGCAUAGGAAUCUGCCCGAUAGUGGGGGAUAACCUGGGGAAACCCAGGCUAAUACCGCAUACGUCCUACGGGAGAAAGGGGGCUCCGGCUCCCGCUAUGGGAUGAGCCUAUGUCGGAUUAGCUAGUUGGUGAGGUAACGGCUCACCAAGGCCACGAUCCGUAGCUGGUCUGAGAGGAUGAUCAGCCACAUCGGGACUGAGACACGGCCCGAACUCCUACGGGAGGCAGCAGUGGGGAAUAUUGGACAAUGGGGGAAACCCUGAUCCAGCCAUGCCGCGUGUGUGAAGAAGGCCCUCGGGUUGUAAAGCACUUUCAGCGAGGAAGAACGCCUAACGGUUAAUACCCGCUAGGAAAGACAUCACUCGCAGAAGAAGCACCGGCUAACUCCGUGCCAGCAGCCGCGGUAAUACGGAGGGUGCAAGCGUUAAUCGGAAUUACUGGGCGUAAAGCGCGCGUAGGUGGCUUGAUAAGCCGGUUGUGAAAGCCCCGGGCUCAACCUGGGAACGGCAUCCGGAACUGUCAAGCUAGAGUGCAGGAGAGGAAGGUAGAAUUCCCGGUGUAGCGGUGAAAUGCGUAGAGAUCGGGAGGAUUACCAGUGGCGAACGCGGUCUUCUGGACUGACACUGACACUGAGUGCGAAAGCGUGGUAGCAAACAGGAUUAGAUACCCUGGUAGUCCACGCCGA
rnacentral:rRNA from 1 species